AUUGAACGCUAGCGGGAUGCUUUACACAUGCAAGUCGAACGGCAGCGCGGACUUCGGUCUGGCGGCGAGUGGCGAACGGGUGAGUAAUGUAUCGGAACGUGCCCAGUAGCGGGGGAUAACUACGCGAAAGCGUAGCUAAUACCGCAUACGCCCUACGGGGGAAAGCCGGGGAUCGUAAGACCUUGCACUAUUGGAGCGGCCGAUAUCGGAUUAGCUAGUUGGUGAGGUAACGGCUCACCAAGGCGACGAUCCGUAGCUGGUUUGAGAGGACGACCAGCCACACUGGGACUGAGACACGGCCCAGACUCCUACGGGAGGCAGCAGUGGGGAAUUUUGGACAAUGGGGGCAACCCUGAUCCAGCCAUCCCGCGUGUGCGAUGAAGGCCUUCGGGUUGUAAAGCACUUUUGGCAGGAAAGAAACGACGCGGGCUAAUACCCCGUGGAACUGACGGUACCUGCAGAAUAAGCACCGGCUAACUACGUG
rnacentral:rRNA from 1 species